CAUACCCCGAAAAUGAAGGUUUAACCCCUUCCCUUACUA
rnacentral:tRNA from 1 species